rnacentral:lncRNA from 1 species
CUAAAAAUGACAGUAAGUUUUGGAGAAUUCUAAUAAUUAGGUAAGAAAUAUUUUAUACAAUAUUUUAAGAUAGUAUAGUAUUACCUAUUAUUGUCAUAAGUUAGGAAAGGAGAAGAGAGAAUGAAUGCAUAAUAUAGAAUUAUAGAUUAUAAUAUUUUAUUUGAUAGAAUGUGGGAGGUAUUUUAGAUUUUUUGAUUGAUUUAGUUGAUUAGGAGAUAGUUAAUUGUGUGAUCCUAAUAUAAAAACUCAUGCAAAUAGUCUUUUUCUAUAUUUAAAU